rnacentral:lncRNA from 1 species
CUGCUGGUCACUUUUUUUUUUUCCCUCCCCCGUAUUAAAACCCAGCAGCAAGAGCAAUGCAAGGCAGCAUGGGGAGAGCGGGCCAGGUUACAGCUCGCGGAGCAGGAUCAAGUGCACAUUUGAAAGAGAGGGACAGACGCAGACCUGGAUCUUGGAGACUUUACAGCAGAUUCAGCUUUGUACCCCACAGGACCAGGGGAACAUCUGCCCGUGCGGAGCGAGCGUCUGGCCCCGUAGCCGUGCUCUGGCACCACGUCCAGGUACUCCAAGGGUGAAUUCAGUAUAUGAUGAACAACUUGUUCUCCAAAGUCGGAAUUUAGGGGAGAAGGUUUUAGGGAUGAUCACGCAACUCUCCGAGGCUCCUUCUCAGACAACUGAACCCCCCCCACCAGAGGGACAAUAUAUGGUUAGCAGUAACACCUGCAGAGAAAGACUAAUUGCUUCUUAAAAAAUAGACUCAAAUCCAGGCAGAGGUGGCAGAUGCGCACCAAGAAGCCUGCCGCUGAGAGCAGAGGGGCUAUUUCGGAAGAGUCAUUCCUCCUCAAGGAACGAUCGCACACCAUGCUCUUUCAACCCAAGUGCAAACUUUCUGCAAAUGGGGAAGUCUGGGUUCCGGAUUGAGCUGCGAGAGCUGAGUAGCAGUUUCCCCGUAGGUGUCCAUACUCCUCCUUGAACAAAACCAAGGUUCAGUCCAGGCCAUCGAGAUACCAAGUUCCUUGCUUGCUGCUCUCUGUGCUCCGUGGAGGC